rnacentral:lncRNA from 1 species
UAAAAAACAACAGUUCUUAAUAUAUAUGUAAUUACAAUCACGUAGCCGGAAAAAAACUUUUUAUCAUUGACAAAUAUAUCUUCCUGAAUGGGUCUACAUAUAACUGAGCGCAUAAUUAACACUUUCAUUGUUUAGGCAUAUGCAACCUUGUGAUAGUUCUGCAUGUGACAAAGAUUGAAUUUUGUCAACUUCAACAGUUAGAAGGUGACCAGCAUUCUCCAAACAAUCCUCGCUCGCUGUAAUUUCAGUUGAAGGUUAAGUGUCCUCAAAUUCCUCGACAAUGGCAAUAUGAGAUGAGAUGGCUCUAGUGCUGAAUUGUCCAUUACCAAACUAUCAUUUGACACUAUUCGCAUCGCGGAAACUCUUGACUGCAGAUUUAGCUGUAAAUCUCAUCAGGGGAGCUAUUGUCCCUACAGAUCAUUUCAAUUAAGUGGGGAAAACUGCAAAAUAGUAAAAUAUCUGAGAAAACAAGGAAUCUAAAGCCUACUUAAAAAUGCAAUAUUUAGGUUCAAUGAAGCAAUAUACAAGAGAUUGAACAUACAAGAUGCAGUUUUCAGUCACUACGAUAGAUAUUCAAAAAAUACCAACAUACAUUAUAAUCAUAUAAUAAGCCAUUAGGAAAUUUCUAUCCACCUUCAUUUAUCUGAAGUCCUCCUAUUGCUAGAAUUGCUUCAUGAGCAUUUUUGCAAGAUAUUCUUUUUGCCUACUUUACUUUGUUAUCAUUGAAAUAAACUUUUACAAGACCAUUAUUGUACAAAAUUACUUUUGUAACUACAUGAAAUUUGACAAAAUGAUCUUAGUUGGUGAAUCGGGUUAUGUAAAGAAGAUUACCUGCCACUUAGAACUUUAAAUGGUGUAGGCACACUCUUCCUGCAUCACUGAUAAAGAACAAUGUCACAAAGGGUCGGAAUUUCUAUUUUGAAUUUAGUAGUUUGAGGAGUCCUGUCUAAACAGUUGUUACUAAAUAUGUUCUUAGCACUUCAAAAAAGUUUACGUUUGAGAAGCUAAUAGUUGGUGUAAAAACCGAAAACAAGUAUUUGAAUUUAGAUGAUAUUGUCAUUUUCUUUGCUAAAUAAAAGCAUUUAUAUCAAUCUUUGGCCUAACGUAUUGAAGUUACAAGCAAUGCAAUAAGCUAUCUCACUAAAGACAAUAAAGUUUUGGUCCCCAAUUCAAGAACAUAUGAGGCAUAGAAAAAAUUUAUGAGUAGCACCAAGUAACCAACAGAGAAUAAAAUCCAAGUAGAAAAGUAGAAAACAUUUACUACAUUGCAGGCAUAUCUGGUGAAAUCAAGCAAGUGAAAUGCUUACAAUCCUAAUAGCAUACUGAUAACAACAUCCCCUCCCCUUAUCAUCAGUAUUACUCUCCUUUCAGAACCCUCCACAAACUCCAUGUUCACAUUCGAAUCCUGACAAUGGAGCUUCUAGUAAUAUAAAAGGCAUAAGCAGAUACCACCUAGAAUCUUCUCGUGCAUCUCUUAACCUCUUUCCAUAUGGUACUCCCUAGACAUAGGUAAACAGAAUAAAUCAAAAAUUUUAA